UACGGAGGGUGCAAGCGUUAAUCGGAAUUACUGGGCGUAAAGCGUGCGCAGGCGGUUUGUUAAGUCCGUUGUGAAAGCCCCGAGCUCAACUUGGGAAUUGCAGUGGAUACUGGCAGGCUGGAGUACGGUAGAGGAAGGUGGAAUUCCCGGUGUAGCAGUGAAAUGCGUAGAUAUCGGGAGGAACACCUAUGGCGAAAGCACCUGCCUGGGCUUCUAUUGACGCUAAGACUCGAAAGCUGGGGGAGCAAACAGG
rnacentral:rRNA from 1 species